GUAAGUGCUGGAGGUUCGGUGGACUACCGCGGCGUUCCCGGGCCUUUCCUAGGCCUCGGUGCAGGCUUGCAACCUUCCUUGCACGGUUCUUGGCGUUGAUGCACUAGUUCUUCCAUGGAGCUGUGUUCCGGAAGGGCCUCUAAUUUUAAGAAGACAAACAUGGCAUCCAGUGCCCAGAGAAAAAGGAUGAGCCCUAAGCCUGAACUUACUGAAGAACAGAAACAGGAAAUCCGGGAAGCUUUUGAUCUCUUUGAUGCUGAUGGAACUGGAACUAUAGACAUGAAGGAACUAAAGGUGGCAAUGAGGGCCCUGGGCUUUGAACCCAAGAAAGAAGAAAUCAAGAAAAUGAUAAGUGAAAUCGAUAAAGAAGGAACAGGAAAAAUGAACUUCAGUGACUUUUUGACAGUGAUGACUCAGAAAAUGUCUGAGAAAGACACCAAAGAAGAAAUCCUGAAAGCUUUCAAGCUGUUUGAUGAUGAUGAGACUGGAAAAA
rnacentral:lncRNA from 1 species